UACGUAGGGUGCGAGCGUUAAUCGGAAUUACUGGGCGUAAAGUGUGCGCAGGCGGCAGAGCAAGUCGAGUGUGAAAGCCCCGGGCUUAACUUGGGAAUUGCGCUCGAAACUACUUUGCUGGAGUGUGGCAGAGGAAGGUGGAAUUCCACGUGUAGCGGUGAAAUGCGUAGAGAUGUGGAGGAACACCAAUGGCGAAGGCGGGUCUCUGGGCCGAAAUUGACGCUGAGGAGCGAAAGCGUGGGGAGCGAACAGG
rnacentral:rRNA from 1 species